GGUUGAUCCUGCCGGACCCGACUGCUAUUUGGGUGAGAUUAAGCCAUGCAAGUCGUAUGGGAUACCUAAAGUUCCCAUGGCGCACUGCUCAGUAACACAUGAUUAACUUACCCUAUGGAGAAAAAUAACCUCGGGAAACUGAGGAUAAUAUUUCAUAGUUGAGAAGGCUUGGAAAAGUUUUUCAAUCAAAAGGAUAAGAAAAAUGGUUCUUAUCUGCCAUAGGAUAGGAUCGUGGUCGAUUAUGGUUGUUGGCGAGGUAAUGGCUCACCAAGCCGAUAAUCGAUAGGGGCCGUGAGAGCGGGAGCCCCGAGAUGGGUACUGAGACAACGACCCAGGCCUUACGAGGCGCAGCAGGCGCGAAACCUCCGCAAUACACGCAAGUGUGACGGGGUCACCCAAAGUGUCCUUUAUAGGACUGUGAUAGGUGGGUAAUAUCCCCUAUCAGAAAGGAGAGGGCAAGGCUGGUGCCAGCCGCCGCGGUAAAACCAGCUCUUCAAGUGGUCGGGAUCUUUAUUGGGCUUAAAGUGUCCGUAGCCGGUUUAGUAAGUUCCUGGUAAAAUCGGAUAGCUUAACUAUUCGCAUGCUAGGAAUACUGCUAUACUAGAGGGCGGGAGAGGUCUGAGGUACUACUAGGGUAGGGGUGAAAUCUUAUAAUCCUUUUAGGACCACCAGUGGCGAAGGCGUCAGACUGGAACGCGCCUGACGGUGAGGGACGAAAGCUAGGGGAGCGAACCGGAUUAGAUACCCGGGUAGUCCUAGCCGUAAACGAUGCAUACUAGGUGAUGGCACGGCCAUGAGCCGCGUCAGUGCCGUAGGGAAACCGUUAAGUGUGCCGCCUGGGAAGUACGGUCGCAAGGCUGAAACUUAAAGGAAUUGGCGGGGGAGCACCACAAGGGGUGAAGCCUGCGGUUUAAUUGGAGUCAACGCCGGG
rnacentral:rRNA from 1 species